GACGACUUCAAAAAGUGUUUCCAGUGAAGUGUGUCAUAUGCAUCAGAAGUUCAGCCAGCGGUCUCUGGACGUGAUGUCUGAAGCUGAGACUACAUCUCAACCUGCGUACAAACCCACGUUCCUGGAAUCACUAAACCAGAACCGCCUGCUAUCAUCACGUCAUCAGUACAUCUUCAUAAACGCGUCUCAUUUCUCCAGUUCUUUCAGGUUCAGCGUUGACUGUGAGAGCUUCACUGACUGCGUUUACUGGCACUGUCCGAGCGCCAUCAGAACAACAUCAUGCUUGAUCACAUGGAUCCCAUCAUCAUUGGCGUAGUAACAGGAGGGGUUUUGAUCAUUGUUGUCACCCUUGCCAUCACCUUCUGCUGUGUCUGUAAAAAUAAAUCACUUCCGACACCUCCAAUACCAGUGUAACCCUCCCUUUCAUACAGCAGUAGACUACGCCUUAUUGGAUGAAGGCAGAACGAAAUGAAUGAAUUAUUUAUUUUUGUGUAUCUUAUUUUUUUAUAGAUUGUAAUCGGUUUGGUAAUAAUGCUCUGUACAGCACUUUGAACAACCUUGGGUUGUUUUAUAAAUAACCAAUGAAUAAAUGAUUAUACAGGACCAGCGGAUGUGUUUUAGUCCAUUUUCAUUUUCAAUUUGUUCUUUCAGUUUGGUUUUUGUUGAGUGACAGUUUUACUUUAUUAAGUGUUUUGUUUCAGUUUUGUUGAUGUUUCUUCCAUUCAGUUUCAGUGUUUUAGAGCUGCCAAAGUUAACAGAGCUGAAUGUAAAUCUAGUGUCACGUUUACUGCAGGUGGAUUGAUUGUAUGCUCAAAAUUGUACUGUAGUUGCAGUUGAAUAAUAAAGGAUUUAGCUCCUGCA